rnacentral:rRNA from 1 species
CCUACGGGAGGCAGCAGUGGGGAAUAUUGGACAAUGGGCGCAAGCCUGAUCCAGCAAUGCCGCGUGAGUGAUGAAGGCCUUAGGGUCGUAAAGCUCUUUUACCAGGGAUGAUAAUGACAGUACCUGGAGAAUAAGCUCCGGCUAACUCCGUGCCAGCAGCCGCGGUAAUACGGAGGGAGCUAGCGUUGUUCGGAAUUACUGGGCGUAAAGCGUACGUAGGCGGUUAUUCAAGUCAGAGGUGAAAGCCCGGGGCUCAACCCCGGAACGGCCUUUGAAACUAGGUAGCUAGAAUCUUGGAGAGGUCAGUGGAAUUCCGAGUGUAGAGGUGAAAUUCGUAGAUAUUCGGAAGAACACCAGUGGCGAAGGCGACUGACUGGACAAGUAUUGACGCUGAGGUACGAAAGCGUGGGGAGCAAACAGGAUUAGAUACCCUGGUAGUCCACGCCGUAAACGAUGAUAACUAGCUGUUCGGGCACUUGGUGCUUGAGUGGCGCAGCUAACGCAUUAAGUUAUCCGCCUGGGGAGUACGGUCGCAAGNUUAAAACCCCAAGGAAUUGACGGCUGAGACNGCGAGACGACGACGAGGAGAG